rnacentral:lncRNA from 1 species
UCCUGGGAAACCUCAGACAGAGCCUUGUGCUGGGAGGCUCCGGGGAGGGAAUGGAGAAUUCUCUCUGACUGCCCCGGCUUGCUUUCUCAUGCUAUUGCCCCGCAGGGACCUACGCCUCCUCUGUUCAGUCUGGACAUGUGUAUGACUUUGGUCCAACCACUGUCCCUCUGAUUCCUUCCUCUUGGCAGGAAGCUAAGGGAGGGCUGGGUGUGUGGCCCCAACCCCAGGCCCUCGUUGAAGGGCAAAGGUCCCAGACCUCUCAUCUUUAUCGUGGAUGUCUUUUCCUUGCCGCUCUCUUCUCCCCACUCCCAGCCCCAGCCAGACCCCUCUUGUGAGACUGACAGCGACGAGGAGAUCUUGGAGCAGAUACUGGAGUUGCCUCUCCAGCGGCUGUGCAGCAAGAAGCUGUUCAGCAUCCCCGAGGAGGAAGAAGAGGAGGAUGAGGAGGAAGGGCUGGGGAAACCAGGGCCCAGCAGCUCUUCCCAAGACCCUAGCCAGCCUGAACGUGCAUUGCUAGGUCUGGACUGUGAGAGCAGUCAGCCCCAGGGACCUGGCCUAUGUCCCUUGUCUCCUGAGCUCUCCGGGGCCAGGGAGCACCUGGAGGAUGUGCUAGGAGUAGUUGGUGGAAACAGCC